rnacentral:rRNA from 1 species
GGUGAACGCUGGCGGCGUGCUUAAGACAUGCAAGUCGAACGGCAGUCUUCGGACUGUAGUGGCGCACGGGUGAGUAACGCGUAACUGACCUACCCCAAAGUCGCGGAUAACGAUUCGAAAGAAUCGCUAAUACGUGAUGUGCUGUCAGAUUGUGUUCUGCCAGUAAAGAUUGAUUGCUUUGGGAUGGGGUUGCGUUUCAGCAGGCUAGUUGGUGGGGUAAAGGCCCACCAAGGAGACGACGGAUAGCCGGCCUGGGAGGGUGGCUGGCUACAGGGGCACUGGGACCCGGCUCCCAGUACGACGGGAGGCAGGAGUAAAGGAUCUUCCAGAAUGGGCGAGAGGCUGAUGGAGCGAUGCCGCGUGAGGGAUGAAGGUCUUCGGGUCGUAAACCUCUGAAUCAGGGACGAAAGACACUUCGGUGGGAUGACGGUACCUGAGUAAUAGCACCGGCUAACUCCGUGCCAGCCGCCGCCGUAAUAC